CACGUAGGCUCCAAGCGUUGUCCGGAUUUAUUGGGCGUAAAGAGCUCGUAGGCGGUUCAGCAAGUCGGGUGUGAAAACUCUGGGCUCAACCCAGAGCCUGCACCCGAAACUGCUGUGACUAGAGUUCGGUAGGGGAGUGGGGAAUUCCUAGUGUAGCGGUGAAAUGCGCAGAUAUUAGGAGGAACACCGAUGGCGAAGGCACCACUCUGGGCCGAAACUGACGCUGAGGAGCGAAAGCGUGGGUAGCAAACAGG
rnacentral:rRNA from 1 species